ACAUUUGACUGUCUUCCAGGAUCUCCACAUGUGGAUCUCCAUCACGAGAUAGAACUCUGAGAACAUCAAAAACCGAUGUAGUAUAUAUCAUAUCCUUGGAGUUUCUGUUGAAUUGAAAGUUUGGGAAUCGAUUAAUGCGUACUCUCCAUCACGACUCCAUUCCACUCUGGGUGCAGGACGCCCACUAACUCUGCACUGAAAAUCCACUUCCUCGCCUAGAACAGCAGUUAUCUCUUGUAGUUUGGUGGUGCCCGAGAUUACUGGUGGAGCUGCAACAAUAGGUUCACACACAAGACACGCAGAGGAAUUUACCAAGAAUUUCCAGAAAAAUCUCCAAAGUCUCCUGUCCUGCGCUGUUCCGAGCCACGCACUGGAAGACCAUUGUGAAACCAAUUGACCUCUGGGCUCGGCUCCCCCUGGACCACACAAGGCAGCGUGACUGUUUGACCGACCAGAGCUUUCAGUAGAGAGGGCGCUGGCUGAAUCUUGGGCUUGGCUGAGGACAAAAGUGCAAACUUAACAUGUGUCUUUACACUACAACUUAGUUCACAUAGACAUGUGCCGAUUACCGGUUUCAAGGUAUACCAUGGGAGAAAUGCCUCGAUUGCAGCCGGUAGGCUCAACCCUUCGCAUUGAUACAAAAUUCAAGGUUAGUAAACACUGUCAUGAACAUUUUCCACCAGCUACGAGAGUUAACUCCAAUGUGUUUAGUGUGUCUAGCGGUGGUAAAAUGUGGUGUUUUUUUUCUCUCUGGCAAAUUUCUGUGUUGAGAAAGAGUGUGUCUAGCAUGUAAAAAUGAUACGAGUCAUACACACGUGCUUUUUAUGGAAAAUAAUUCAAUUAUUUUUGUUCUGAUGGUAAUAAUGUUGAGCUAAGGCUGUGGGUUUACUCUCACCUAAAGGACUGCAUUUACUUUCAUUUUAUUUAGAAUAUUUCAGUUAUUAUUUGUUAUUUUCUUCAUUUUAACUUGACAUUAUACUUAUAAUUUAAUUUGCUAAUGUUUUGAAAAAUAAAACUCCUGUUCAAUGGAAAAUAUUUUUUUUCCCUAGACAUCUUAAGUAACAUAUUUCCGAGCUGUAAUCGCGUGAAAACCGUGAUAUUUUUGCUUAAGGCUGUCAUACCAUCAGAAUCUCUUACCGGCACAUGCCUAUACAGUUCCAUUCCAUUUACAGUAUUUGAAAGAAUUGACAUAUUACCAGGAGAUCUAUCAACAUGACAGUGUUCUCAACAGACAUGUAUUAGUGUUACCUUGAACAUGUAAAUUGUAGCUUAAGGACACAUUGCCAGCUGGGUUCUCUGCGGUACAGGUGUACAGUUUACUAUCAAUCAGGCGUACAUCGGUGAUCUUCAGGGAGCCUGAAGGUAAAACAGUGAACCUGGAGAGAGGUAAGGGGUGAAGAGCAAGGAAAUAACACAAAAAACAGCACUUAAUAAAUCAGUGAAGGUCUCCAACCUUUGUGGUGAUGUAAUUUACCUGUCUGGAUUAAUUAUAAUAUUAUAAUUCCUCAAAUACCCUCAUUUUUUUCUGGAACAUUUGUAACAGUAAAAGGACAACGUUCUUAUAUUUUUUACAUUGUUUGAAUUCUCUGCCAAAAACUGUAUUUUAAAUGGGGACUAUUUGCUGCCCUGAGUGAUGGAUGAAAGAUCUAAAAAAAAAAAGAAAAAAAAGAAAGCACUCAGUGGAAUGCAGACUUCCUCCAGGGUCGAGUGAUCUCCCCUGUGACUUGUUACUAUUGUCCAAGGUAAUUACGGUGAAAAAGGGUAGCCGGAGUUUAACCUGAUGAAGUCACCCUGGGAAAGUUCAUAUGGAUGCCAACAUCAGUAGAAUUCUACAGUGUGUUAACUAUAUAACUAUAGAGUCACGCGUGAUUUGAUUUAAAGAAAGGCCUGACCGUAUGCUGUAUAUUAUGUCGGUCACUGUGACAUCUGCCUUCAAAAAAAGCUAAAGCAAAUGUAGCUAUUAGUAAGCCUGUCAAGACACAAACAAAAAGUAUGCUUUGUGAUUAAGAAAUGCCCAGCCGUUUAAUGUUUCAAGCAAGUAAAAAUAGCUUGUAUUCAUCUCAGCGGCAUCGAAGUGGAGCUGUAUGAAUGAGAAAAUACACACAAAUGUAAACAGACAUCUCCCAGUUCCGGUGGAUAAGAAUUUUUGCUAGGCAACUUAUUAAUAACGAUAACAUGUCUGAUGAAAUGGAAAAAACAUUUUUUUUUUUUUUUUUUUUUAAUCGCUUGCAUUUCCAUGCUGUAGCUUAUCAAUUACCCUGAGUUCUCCACUCAUGUGAAGAAAAACAGUGACAUUCUAUUUAGAUACAGCUUGAAUGGAUGGAAAUCAGCCCACCCCUUAAUUUACAUUAGUGUGCAACAAUCAACACCGUGGUCAUCUUUUCUGAACUACAGCUUGCAUGUGUUUUCAGUAGCUAAAUCUGCAGAGCACGGGCCUGUGUGGGGGUUGUUCACAAAGACAUGUUAUUCUCAUCAGACAAGACUAGUAAAGAGUCAGCAUGUUGUUUUAUUGCUAACGCACCCCAGGGAUUCCCAACUUCAGGCAGACAGGGUUUGUCUCUCUUCUGUGUCAGUUUUCCUCCCUUCUUCCUGGCAUCCCCCACACCACCACCCACAUUUCCCUUCUUCCUGGCUGCAUAGACAAACCAUACUGCAUUUGAGUCAUCACUGGAGGUUUCAACCCCCUCGUCACCCUCCUCUGAGGCUGUCUUCUAUCUUGUCUGCGUACUGAGUGGGGCUGCCUACAGUCAGUGUGACCACACAUGAAUGUGAACCACAGAGCACCAGAUGUUCUACCUCAGUUUAGUUAGCAAGUCAAGGAUACACAAAUACAACCCCCUACAUGGACUAUUGACUCUGACAAGUUGCGCUUUAUUGGGCAUGACUAAAAAUUUGUGUAAUCAUGAAUGGCAGGCAAAUUCCAUUUAAGGUCUGGGUAAUAUAUUAGAACAGAAGUAAGACAUGAUGAGGAAUUUUAAUUUAGCCAAGUUUGCAAGAUUAGAAUCUGGUUAGAAGUGCAACCCAAAAGGAUAAGCUCCAUAUAAACAUUUCAAAACUGAACGAAUGUAAAAUUCAUUCAAAUUCGCAAUAUUCCUUCUGUUAAUCCAACCAGAAGUAAAAUGUUGCCAUGUAUACAGUGAUUUAGAGUGUUUACAGGGUACCUUCUUGAUGUAAAUGCGUAGCGACAUAAUCAUUUGCACACAUGAAAAUAUGGCAGCCCUCAGAGUUGGGGGUAUUCCAGCAAAGAGGGAAUGUGUAAAGUCACAGGAAGUCGACCCCGAGAUGAAACAAAGCAUCAUCAAUUUGUUUCCAACUGCUUAGUUAAGAGAACUGAACUUGUUAAUAGAUUGUAUGAAACGAUUCCCAUCGUAAAACGCUGACUUUCUCUCAGUUUCCAAAUUACUAACUCAAAUUUAGAGUAAGAUCAUGUUUAACCUGCUUGCUAGAAUACUAUCCGGUGUCCGAGAUGAAGCGCUUGUUGCUUUUUAGUAACAAUUUUUUCCAAUAUCGUUCGGCCCUUGUCAGAAUGAUAAAAAAAAUUCUGCAUGGAAACCUGAUUUUUUUUGUCUUUUACUAGAUGUGACAUUGUUGCCACAGUCAUAUAAAAUCUCCAACUCACCCUGCUGUGACAGGGGGGAUGGGGUGCCCAUUUCUGUUCCAUGUGACAAGUGGUGACGGACUCCCAUGGGCCUCACAAGGUAGAACAACCUCUGCUCCUACCUCUGCAGCCAUUUCUACUGUGUUGUCAUGGUCACUCGCACCCAUUAUCUUUGGCAUUGCUGUGAAAAGGGAAACAACUGUGAGUGCGAGCUCUCAGGACAAAUGCUGUAUUUGGGUGACUGCCUUCUUUUUUGCCUUACUGUUAACACUGAGCUGGAUUUCCCGACUGGUGUAACCCACGGAACUAGUAGCAGUACAAAUGUAGAUUCCUGCAUCGUCAGUGGUCGGGUGGGGUAUGUGGAGGUAUCCACUGGGGUCAGCCUGAAGCGAGGAGCUAUCCCGAGGUAGAGGUUGCCUGCCCUAAAGGAAGAGCAAGCAAAAAAAAAAAAAAAAAAAAGUACUGUAGCUUCACAAGCAUGACAAUGCAGGGACUCUGAGACCCAUCUGAUUUGCAGCCAAACAUUUGAUGUCUAAUAUAAUUACAAGGCUCCUGUCUAACCUGCUCUCUAUUUUCAGUACAAGCAUAAAAGAAUAUAGGCUUUUGGAAUUUAAACUUGCUUUGAACAUUUAAUAGCUUUAGCAGAUACACCCUUAUCUGUCAAGUAAACUACUGCAUUGUAUUUGACUGUGGUGAUAAAAUUCUUCAGCGAAAAAGCAAGGAAAGCGAAUUCUGGCUCAAAGCCCUGAUGUAUUUUUUUUAAUUAUUUUUUUUAAUAUAUAUGAUAAAACACAAUUUGUACAGCAUGCCAAUGGAGCUGAACACAUUGCAGUCAUGGGUUAAAAAAAAACGUAAACUAGACUAAGUAGUGUUGUUAUAAUGUGAAUGCUUUACUGUUCAAUGCAACAGACAACUGUUGUAGAAAAAAUACAUUAAACCAUGCUGUUUUCUAUUCUUUCAUUAGGAACUGUCAAAUUACAUUAAGUGAAAGAGCAGCAUGGUAAAACCUGUGGCUAACAGGGCUGCCUGACAGCAAAAGAUUCAAUGUUAAUGUAUACACCACUUAAAACAGUCCAAGCUGUGUUUCAAACCCAGAUUCGUGACUCUCAGGAAAAUGCGUUAGCCACUCGGGACAAUGUGCUGCCGAAAAUUGAAUACGCAAAUAUGAUUAAUAAUAUUUAGUAAAAUAUUUUUUAAGAAUGGCAUGUGAACAAAAACUUGGCAAUAAAAGAUUGAAACCUAAGGCAAUAAACUGCUAUUUGAUAUGUUGGGAAUACUGUAAGUGAUCCAUUUGUCCAUCCUUUUCUAUA